AUUGAACGCUGGCGGCAGGCCUAACUCAUGCAAGUCGAGCGGAUGAAGGGAGCUUGCUCCUGGAUUCAGCGGCGGACGGGUGUGUACUGCCUAGGAAUCUGCCUGGUAGUGGGGGAUAACGUCCGGAAACGGGCGCUAAUACCGCAUACGUCCUGAGGGAGAAAGUGGGGGAUCUUCGGACCUCACGCUAUCAGAUGAGCCUAGGUCGGAUUAGCUAGUUGGUGGGGUAAAGGCCUACCAAGGCGACGAUCCGUAACUGGUCUGAGAGGAUGAUCAGUCACCCUGUAACUGAGACACGGUCCAGACUCCUACGGGAGGCAGCAGUGUGAGAUAUUUGACAUUGGGCGAAAUCCUGAUCCAGCCAUGCCGCGUGUGUGAAGAAGGUCUUCGAAUUGUAAAGCACUUGUGGUUAGGAGGAGGGGCAGUAAGUUAAAGCCUUGCUGUUUUGACGUUACCAACAGAAUGGGCACCGGCUAGCUACGUG
rnacentral:rRNA from 1 species